rnacentral:precursor_RNA from 14 species
UGUUAACGUCACCUUGUGUCGUUGACUGUAUUUGGCAAUAGUUAGAAUUCACACUGUAUCUGAUAUGACGUCAGUGGUUCUAAUUUUGCCAAGUACAGCGUGCGAUAUCUGCACCGAGUUGUAGU